GUCUCGGUCGUCUAGUCAGGCUCAGGACACCGCCCUUUCACGGCGGCGACACGGGUUCGAAUCCCGUCCGAGACG
rnacentral:tRNA from 2 species